UACAGGGGGUGCAAACGUUGCUCGGAAUCAUUGGGCGUAAAGCGCACGUAGGCGGUUCGUUAUGUCGGAUGUGAAAGCCCUUGGCUUAACCGAGGAAGUGCAUCCGAAACUGGCGAGCUAGAGUACUAAAGAGGAUCGCGGAAUUCCCGGUGUAGAGGUGAAAUUCGUAGAUAUCGGGAGGAACACCGGUGGCGAAGGCGGCGACCUGGGCAGAUACUGACACUGAGGUGCGAAAGCGUGGGGAGCAAACAGG
rnacentral:rRNA from 1 species